CCUGACCCACCGUAUCGGGUCAUUUUCUAACUGCGAACGAUAACUUCGCUGGGGAAUACGCCGUCGCCGCGUAAUGCGGUUCCGGUAAUUCCGAACUAAGUCCUGGGGGUUCAGAUCCUGGGGCGGGGCUCGGAGGGCGCCUGGCAACAGAAGCCCUCCACU
rnacentral:tmRNA from 1 species